rnacentral:rRNA from 1 species
AUUGAACGCUGGCGGCAGGCUUAACACAUGCAAGUCGAGCGGAGCGAGGGUGCUUGCACCUUAGCUUAGCGGCGGACGGGUGAGUAAUGCUUAGGAAUCUGCCUAUUAGUGGGGGACAACAUUCCGAAAGGAAUGCUAAUACCGCAUACGCCCUACGGGGGAAAGCAGGGGAUCUUCGGACCUUGCGCUAAUAGAUGAGCAUAAGUCGGAGUAGCUAGUUGGUGGGGUAAAGGCCUACCAAGGCGACGAACUGUAGCGGGUCUGAGAGGAUGCUCCGCCACACUGGGGCUGAGACACGGCCAAGACGACUACGGGAGGCAGCAGUGGGGAAUAUUGGACAAUGGGCGGAAGCGUGAUCCAGCCAUGCCGCGUGUGUGAAGAAGGCCUUUUGGUUGUAAAGCACUUUAAGCGAGGAGGAGGCUACUUAGAUUAAUACUCUGGGAUAGUGGACGUUACUCGCAGAAUAAGCACCGGCUAACUCUGUGCCAGCCGCCGCAGUAAAAC